rnacentral:rRNA from 1 species
UACAGAGGUCUCAAGCGUUGUUCGGAUUCAUUGGGCGUAAAGGGUGCGUAGGUGGCGCCGUAAGUCAGGUGUGAAAUCUCGGGGCUCAACCCCGAAACUGCACUUGAUACUGCGGUGCUCGAGUACUGGAGAGGAGAUUGGAAUUUACGGUGUAGCAGUGAAAUGCGUAGAUAUCGUGAGGAACACCUGUGGCGAAAGCGGCGCACUGGACCACAACUGACGCUGAGGCGCGAAAGCUAGGGGAGCAAACAGG